UUCUGAAGAAUUCUAUGACACAAGGCAGUGAGAACAGUCUGGCCAGCAGCUAGUGAGGAGCUGAGACCCUCAACCCAACAGUCUUGAAGAACUGGAUCCUACCAUCAACGACUGAAUGAGUUUGGAAGGUUAAAAGCUAACUGCAACCUUAUAAAAGAACAUAAAGGGGAAGAUCCAGCUAAGCCGUAUCCAGGUUCCUGAUGCUCAUAAACUAUUGAUGAUAAUUGUUGCUCUUUUAAGCUGUACUGCACCCUUGGGCUUCAAGUCAGCAGCCUGAAAGGAUGAGAGGUGACAGAGGUCUGCUCCAUGGGCUAGGAAAGAUGCCUGGGUAUGAAAAUACUGGCUUGGGAAAGAAUUGAAUCUAGAAGCUGCUUAAUUACUCAAGACUGAUUGCUACCUGAUUCAAGAGGUAAAAAGCAAGAGCAGAGUGGAUUAGGCAGCAUGAGCUGGGACCACAAACUCUGAGAAGACAAGAUGUUGCAUGACAGAGGCAUCCUCGACCCCUGAAUUUCUGCUGAAGAAAGAGUUCCCAAAGAAAGCUUCCUGACCCACACUAAACUGUAGUAUGAGCAAGAAAUCAAUCUUUGUUGUGUUAAUCCAACUAGAUUUAAGGCAUUAUUUCUUAUUGCAACAUGGUUUAGCUGACCCCAACUAGUAAAAUUUUCAU